rnacentral:lncRNA from 1 species
CCUCGGAGGGCUAUAGGAUGGCGUAAGUUCGAGUCUAUUUAAGGCAAACGCCCAUCAUGAGGCAUAAAAAUGAUGGUUGAAGUAGGGGUGGCAAAGUGCCCUACGAUCAUGCCUUUCGGCUAGGCACCCGGAAUUGAGGAUGAGCUGCCGCUGGAGCCUCGGGCCCUUUAAUGACCUCCCUUUACUAGCCUCGGCGCCCUAGCUGUAGGGGCACCACCACCUAGG